rnacentral:rRNA from 1 species
CGUCAAGUCAUCAUGGCCCCUACGUCCAGGGCUACAAACGUCCUACAAUGGCCGGGACAACGGGUCGCAAGACCGCGAGGUGGAGCUAAUCCCUAAAACCCGGUCCCAGUUCAGAUUGCAGUCUGCAAUUCGACUGCAUGAAGGUGGAAUCGCUAGUAAUCGCGGAUCAGCAUGCCGCGGUGAAUACGUUCCCGGGCCUU